rnacentral:rRNA from 1 species
AUUGAACGCUGGCGGCAGGCCUAACACAUGCAAGUCGAGCGGAUGAAGGGAGCUUGCUCCUGGAUUCAGCGGCGGACGGGCGAGUAAUGCCUAGGAAUCUGCCUGGUAGUGGGGGAUAACGUCCGGAAACGGGCGCUAAUACCGCAUACGUCCUGAGGGAGAAAGUGGGGGAUCUUCGGACCUCACGCUAUCAGAUGAGCCUAGGUCGGAUUAGCUAGUUGGUGGGGUAAAGGCCUACCAAGGCGACGAUCCGUAACUGGUCUGAGGGGAUGAUCAGUCACACUGGAACUGAGACACGGUCCAGACUCCUACGGGAGGCAGCAGUGGGGAAUAUUGGACAAUGGGCGAAAGCCUGAUCCAGCCAUGCCGCGUGUGUGAAGAAGGUCUUCGGAUUGUAAAGCACUUUAAGUUGGGAGGAAGGGCAGUAAGUUAAUACCUUGCUGUUUUGACGUUACCAACAGAAUAAGCACCGGCUAACUUCGUG